CUUCCCUAACCUUUUUGACUCUCACUCACUGAGAAAGAAGAAAACAGAUAAGAAAGCUAACCCUAAUCCCUAUUUACAUCUUCCCCAACGCCAUUCUCCCUUUUUCACUCUCUGCAGCCACUCUCCCUUCUCACCCGCGCCCUCAACCCUCUCUCUCACCGAGCCGCCAUCGCUCAUCACUCUCCCAUCUCAUCCGCGCCGUCACCAUUCUCCUCUCUACCGCCGCGUCGAGUCUCGGCCACCUCGUCCGUUCUCCUCUCCGCUGCUCGCCUAUAUUUCUUCGUCCCUAGUCCUCUGCUCUACGCUCUACUUUGCACGUUCGUCUCCCGCUAGCAUCCAAUAGGAAGAAGCCGCCGUCUGCCGUUGAUAGCAUCGCGCCGCAUCCUUCGAUUGUCCCUCUUCCAGUCCUCCUCCACUUCCACUUGGCUUCAGUCCUCCUCGCACCAGCAGCUGCCAUCGUCCUCCAUCCACAACAGCAGCAUGCACUAGAAAUACAACCUCCGUGUCAGGUUGAUUAGGUUCCAUUUGCUUCUGCUAUGUUUGCAAAAUUGUUAAUGAUUUUAACUUGUUUGUGCUUCUGCUAAUUUGUGCCGCGUGGCGUGUGGAAGCUCUGUUGGGUGAUUCGGCCCUCUUCGAUUCGUUUCUCCUAUCGUCGCCAUCGUAGGAAGCUCUCCUCUCAUCCGGGUGCUCUCUCUCUGUCUUUGCCGGCAGUGUGGCAUCACUAAGCCCAACAGCCCUGGUUCUAGCUCUCUCUCGCUCUCUCCGUCCGAGCUCACUUCCAUUCAUCCACCGUUACUACCCUUCCUUCCUCGUGCCGAAUUAAGGUCAUAGUGGAUGACGAAAUGCCUGAAAAUGAAGAAGACCCAGCUCAGAAAUUGAAGAAAAAGAAACAAGAAGCUCAGACGAAAAAGGAAGAUAACAAAAAAGUUCUCAUCUUCCAAUAGUUAUUAGGGGUGAGACUGGCCAUCCUGUUCCGAGAAGUGAAGAAGAUGAUAGAAAAAGUGAAGAUGAGGAUGGUUUUCCCAUUUCUGCUGCUGAGAAAGGUAAAUCUGAAGUUAAAGGAAACAAAGCACGUAAGACUGCCGAGGAAGCUAGCAAAAAUCCAGGUGUUAAUCAUUCUCCAAGCUUAAAACGGAAAGUCGAAAGUGCUGAUUGAGAUGAACCGCAGCAGCAAGAUAGAAGAAGAAAAAGAACAAGUUGAAAGAACCUAGUAAAGGAGAAAGUGCUCAGGCACCAAAGCAAAAGAGCAGCUCCUGGAAAGAAGGAUUGAUAAGAUAAUCAACACUCAAUUGAUGGUUUCUCGGUAAAUUUACCAAAAAUGGCUCAAGUAUUUUCCUCCAUAUUUCAGUUUGAAACAAAGGUUAUUAUGGCUUAUUGGCAUUACAUUCGCAUUGUGUAAAUUAAAUUAUUAGUUUUGUUAGAGUUGUAAUUUUUAAAUUAUAAUUAUAGCAUGUAAAUAAUUAUGUAAAUCAAUAAAAAACCAAUUCUUUUUAUAUUUUCUUAUUUUCUCCAUUCAAAAGUGUGGGUGUAUGUCUCCUAUUGGCGAAGCGUAGCCAAAACCAACUUAACGGCAUAUUUUUAAAAGCGUGGUUGUAUCUUCACUUUUC